rnacentral:rRNA from 1 species
CACGUAGGCAGCGAGCGUUGUUCGGAGUUACUGGGCGUAAAGGGUGCGCAGGCGGUGGAGCAAGUCUGUUGUGAAAUCUCCCGGCUUAACCGGGAGGGUGCGGCGGAAACUGUUCUGCUGGAGUGAGGGAGAGGCAAGCGGAAUUCCUGGUGUAGCGGUGAAAUGCGUAGAUAUCAGGAGGAACACCCGUGGUGCAGACGGCUUGCUGGACCUCCACUGACGCUGAGGCACGAAAGCGUGGGGAUCAAACAGG